GACGAACGCUGGCGGCGUGCUUAACACAUGCAAGUCGAACGCAGUGGCGAACGGGUGGGUAACGCGUAAUCAACCUGCCCUUCAGCGGGGGACAACAGGUGGAAACGACUGCUAAUACCGCAUACUGAAGGAGGGGAUUGCGUCGGAUUAGCUAGUUGGAGGGGUAACGGCCCACCAAGGCGAUGAUCAUUAGCCGGUCUUGGGGGUAGAACGGCCAAUUUGGGACUGUGAAAAGGCCCAACCUCCGUCGGGAGGCAGCGAUGGGGAAUCGUCCGCAAUGGACGAAAGUCUUACGGAGCAACGCCGCGUGGGUGAUGACGGCCUUCGGGUUGUAAAGCUCUUUUUAUCGGGACGCGGUACCGGAAUAGAAAGCCACGGCUAACUACGUGCCAGCAGCCGCGGUAAUUC
rnacentral:rRNA from 1 species